GCGUCGGUGGUGCAACGGUUAGCACAUACUCUCGGAAAGAGUAGGAUCUGGGUUUAAAUCCCGGCUGACGCA